AACAUUAAAUCACAUAAGUGAGUUAAGCUGAUACCUUAAAAGUAAGAACUGGUUCUUUAGUGUUA
rnacentral:tRNA from 1 species